CUAUGCUCCAGCCUUUACAGAUAACGCCUCCUGGAUUGACGUCAACUACACCUUCAGUUUCUGUAUCUCAACCGUUGUUCCCUGUUGUUAGUAAUAGCCACGGACCUACCCAAAGCUCUCCUUUUUCUUCAUCUACACUUUCAACAAGCAUUCCUUUGACCUCGGCAGCAGAUAUCAAGGGCUCAGUGACACAUCUGGGCACCAACUCCUUUUCUACAAUUGGAAAUCAAGUUUCAAACGUUCCAGGUGCAAUAUUAAGCAAUUCACAUUCCUAUGCCUCGGGACCAAAUACAGGUGGUCCUUCUAUCGGACCACCUCCUGUAAUUGCGAAUAAGGCUCCUACUCAACCAUCAACGAAUGAAG
rnacentral:misc_RNA from 1 species